rnacentral:rRNA from 1 species
GAGUUUGAUUAUGGCUCAGAUUGAACGCUGGCGGCAGGCUUAACACAUGCAAGUCGAACGGUAGCAGGAGAAAGCUUGCUUUCUUGCUGACGAGUGGCGGACGGGUGAGUAAUGCUUGGGAAUCUGGCUUAUGGAGGGGGAUAACUACGGGAAACUGUAGCUAAUACCGCGUAAUAUCUUCGGAUUAAAGAAUGGGACUUUUAGCCAUUCGCCAUAAGAUGAGCCCAAGUGGGAUUAGGUAGUUGGUGGGGUAAAGGCCUACCAAGCCGACGAUCUCUAGCUGGUCUGAGAGGAUGACCAGCCACACUGGAACUGAGACACGGUCCAGACUCCUACGGGAGGCAGCAGUGGGGAAUAUUGCGCAAUGGGGGCAACCCUGACGCAGCCAUGCCGCGUGAAUGAAGAAGGCCUUCGGGUUGUAAAGUUCUUUCGGUGGUGAGGAAGGCUUAAGUGCUAAUAGUACUUAAGAUGACGUAGCC